AAAUUGAAGAGUUUGAUCAUGGCUCAGAUUGAACGCUGGCGGCAGGCCUAACACAUGCAAGUCGAACGGUAACAGGAAGCAGCUUGCUGCUUCGCUGACGAGUGGCGGACGGGUGAGUAAUGUCUGGGAAACUGCCUGAUGGAGGGGGAUAACUACUGGAAACGGUGGCUAAUACCGCAUAACGUCGCAAGACCAAAGAGGGGGACCUUCGGGCCUCUUGCCAUCAGAUGUGCCCAGAUGGGAUUAGCUUGUUGGUGAGGUAACGGCUCACCAAGGCGACGAUCCCUAGCUGGUCUGAGAGGAUGACCAGCCACACUGGAACUGAGACACGGUCCAGACUCCUACGGGAGGCAGCAGUGGGGAAUAUUGCACAAUGGGCGCAAGCCUGAUGCAGCCAUGCCGCGUGUAUGAAGAAGGCCUUCGGGUUGUAAAGUACUUUCAGCGGGGAGGAA
rnacentral:rRNA from 5 species